rnacentral:lncRNA from 9 species
GAGGUGGCGUCCCUGUCCUGGCUGUUGUGAGUGGUGCCGCCAUACACACACAGGGGCAUGUGUCUCUUUCCUGGAUACGUGUGUCGUGGUAUCUUCCAGGGCGCUCGCUCGGCUUGCUGGGUCGCAUGCUGUGCUGCGUUCCGUUUUGGGAGGCCCCUCCGUGGUGCCUUCGGUAGUGGUUGUACCGGUGUACGUUAGCACCGGCAGUGCUGGGGGAGGCCUUUGCUCCAGCCGUGUCUGCGACCGACACCAGAGCUGGCGGCAACGCUGGAUCCUUAACCCCCUCGGCGAGGCCAGGGAUCAGCCCCGCAAGCUCGUGGUUCCGGUCGGAUUUGUUUCCGCUGCGCCCCGACGCCCCGACGGGAACUCCUGGCUUGUUUCUUUGCUGUUGCUGUUGAGGUGUAUGAGUUUUCUUUAUGUGUGCUUUGGAGAGGAACCUCACGGGCAGGGGUACCCGUCUCCUCAGUGUUUCUGUAGAGCUGCUGUCCACAGCGUGGCAGCCGCUGUCCAGAGGGAGCCAUUUAUGCUUCAUUGAAUUCAGCCAGUAGUUAGGUCUGCCUCUGGCAGUGAACAGAAGAAAGCAGCCAAGGGUUCACUCCCCCGAGCCAGCACGCAAGGGUGUCCGUGCAGCUGGACUUUCAGGUGUGUCACGCUGGGGCUGAGGCCUCCGGAGGGACUCCUAGAAGGGAGGCGUGCGUGUAAAGCGCCAUCCCUCAGCAGCCCACGACCUCGGACGGUUUGCCACUGUGGCCAGUGUUUUAUUGAUGCUUCUGAGGCCAUAGAGCACGCACGGGGAAGUUCUGAGCACACGGAGGACAAGCCAGGGCGGUGCUGUGUGGCCGCAGUCAACCCUAAGUAGGGGUCCGAGUGGGGGACGGUCGCUAACACCUCGAUUCCUCAUGUCUGUGUUUCUGCAGCUUGGAGCUUGGAGAGUGUGUGUGAGAGCGACCUCGCUGACAGCAACCUCGCAGAAAGUGAUCGAGACUCGGUGGCGGAGCGCACCGACUGCCGCCAGGAUGAGGAGGCUGCAGGAACUCACGACGACGAUGUUGUGGAGGCCGGUGGGAGUGAGAAGACUGAGGCAAAGCCCCGGGCUGGGGGACAUGAGGACGAGGCGGCCCCAGUACCUGAGGUGGAGGUGGAGGAGGAGGCGGGCCAGCCCCGUGAAAAUGGCCAGGAGGAGUCCUUAGCCAUCGCCUGGGCUGAGCCGGAAGACGAGCCUGGCCCCAAGGUGGACGGGGCGGACGAUGAAAUCUCUUGGAGCUUGGAGAGUGUGUGUGAGAGCGACCUCGCUGACAGCAACCUCGCAGAAAGUGAUCGAGACUCGGUGGCGGAGCGCACCGACUGCCGCCAGGAUGAGGAGGCUGCAGGAACUCACGACGACGAUGUUGUGGAGGCCGGUGGGAGUGAGAAGACUGAGGCAAAGCCCCGGGCUGGGGGACAUGAGGACGAGGCGGCCCCAGUACCUGAGGUGGAGGUGGAGGAGGAGGCGGGCCAGCCCCGUGAAAAUGGCCAGGAGGAGUCCUUAGCCAUCGCCUGGGCUGAGCCGGAAGACGAGCCUGGCCCCAAGGUGGACGGGGCGGACGAUGAAAUCUCUUGGAGCUUGGAGAGUGUGUGUGAGAGCGACCUCGCUGACAGCAACCUCGCAGAAAGUGAUCGAGACUCGGUGGCGGAGCGCACCGACUGCCGCCAGGAUGAGGAGGCUGCAGGUAGGGAAGAGCACGCAGCUGGGAUCCAGGGGGAGAGGGUUCCUGGGAGCAGCUGGGUUCCACCUGCUGCCGGGAGAGGGCGGAAGGGGGCUAGGACUUGGGUGGGUGGCCUACUGAGCGGAACUCCGCUGUGGUGUUUUCCCCUCUGAAGUUGCUAAGCCGAAGACGACUUGGGUCCCUGGUCUUUGUUGUGCUGUGUUUGGAUUCGUGUCUCCUUCCUUUGAGAGGGAGAAUGGCUUUUCCCUCCGAAGCGGCUCCUUCCAGCUCUUGUCUCUGGCCAUGGUGCCAGCUUGCUUUGUGGGUCGCACCCUGAGGGUCCUGUGCACAAGAGCUGUUGACUUAGUUUCCUUUGUUGCCCUUGAGGGCCCUGGUGUGGUGGGACGCAACCCUCUCCUAGGCCCUUGACCCUGGAGACCAAGUUUGCCUGGUGAGUGUCAGGUGGCGGGUGAGAAGGCAGGUCUCUCCCUCUGCACGUUUGGGAUUUCUGGCCUCCCUGUCCUGGUGUGUCCUGGCGGUGUGUCCUGAGGGAAGGGGCGUUCCCAGAGUUGGAUGCCCAGACCUGGGACGUGAGGCGCAGAGAGAUCU